AGUGAACGCUGGCGGUAGGCCUAACACAUGCAAGUCGAACGGCAGCACAGGAGAGCUUGCUCUCUGGGUGGCGAGUGGCGGACGGGUGAGGAAUACAUCGGAAUCUACUUUUUCGUGAGGGAUAACGUAGGGAAACUUACGCUAAUACCGCAUACGACCUACGGGUGAAAGCAGGGGAUCUUCGGACCUUGCGCGAUUGAAUGAGACGACGUCGGAUCAGCUAGUUGGCGGGGUAAAGGCCCACCAAGGCGACGAUCCGUAGCUGGUCUGAGAGGAUGAUCAGCCACACUGGAACUGAGACACGGUCCAGACUCCUACGGGAGGCAGCAGUGGGGAAUAUUGGACAAUGGGCGCAAGCCUGAUCCAGCCAUACCGCGUGGGUGAAGAAGGCCUUCGGGUUGUAAAGCCCUUUUGUUGGGAAAGAAAUCCAGCUGGUUAAUACCCGGUUGGGAUGACGGUACCCAAAGAAUAAGCACCGGCUAACUUCGUGCCAGCCGCCGCCGUAA
rnacentral:rRNA from 1 species